rnacentral:rRNA from 1 species
UGGGGAAUUUUGCACAAUGGGGGAAACCCUGAUGCAGCGACGCCGCGUGAUUUAGGAGGCCUUCGGGUUGUAAAAAUCUUUUUUACGGGAUGAAAAUGACAGUACCGUAAGAAUAAGGUCCGGCUAAAUACGUGCCAGCAGCCGCGGUAAUACGUAUGGACCGAGCGUUGUCCGGAAUCAUUGGGCGUAAAGGGUACGUAGGCGGCCUAGUAAGUUAGAAGUGAAAUAAUAUAGCUCAACUAUAUAAAGCUUUUAAAACUGCUAGGCUUGAGAGAUGGAAGGGAAAGUGGAAUUCCUAGUGUAGCGGUGAAAUGCGCAGAUAUUAGGAAGAAUACCGGUGGCGAAGGCGACUUUCUGGUCAUCAUCUGACGCUGAGGUACGAAAGCGUGGGUAGCAAACAGG